CGCCGCAGCCCGGAGCCAGAGAGCCGGCGAGCCAGCGAGCGCCGCGCAGGGCCAGCCACCUGACGCAGCCCGCUCCGCGGUGCCGACGCGACUGAGUGUCCCCGCCGAAGACCAGCGCUCCUAACCAGCCCGAUGACGCCCCAGCCUCUUCAGAGGACCGACCCACAGCGGCGGCCCCUAUAAACCGAAGGGGAAGCCGAAAAAUCAGCCCGCCGAGGACGCACCCAAAUGGGCCGCCACGCACCCUGGGGGUGUGAGCCGGUGUGGGGACGACGCGGGAGUGGCUUCCCGGUUAGCGCACGCGGGGACCGCCACCCACCCCUCCCUCCUGGCCGCGCACGCCCGUGGAGGACGUGGCAGAGAGCAUUGGGUUAAGAGCAGUGACACCAAGAAGUUGUCGACCACUGGGCCUGUUCACUUUGCCUGGGACCUUGGUUGAGUCACAUGCUGCCACGCUGGUGUCUGCUUAGGUACACUACCACCGCCAUUCCACAAGGCCUCUUUUCUUCUGGAUCUGAAUGGACAACGAGAACAAUUCAAAGUCACCAAAGAACACUUGGAAUUCAGAGCAGGAAACAAAAGCUGCAGGCCAGACCCCAGAACCUGCAGCAGCUACUCUGCCUCACUUGGGCCUCCGACUUUUCUCUGCUUCAAAGUGACUGUGCCUGCUCUCCCCCCACAUUCAAACCAAACUAAGCCGGGACUUUGUCACACUUUGGAUUUUGGCCUCUCCCACACAAAAAUACACCAUCUUUUGCAAAAAAGCUCAAAGGCACAACUUUGUUAGGUUGAUGCUUUUCACAUAAACAAAAGCAGAUAAAAAUAUCGAACCGAUUGACCUGAAUGGGCCGGGUAGCCAUGCGACAGUAGGGCUUUACAAUCAACGAUGACGUGGCUGUUAGAGGACAUCAUGUUUCACAGUCCUUCACCCACUUAGCUUAGAAACUACUUGAAGACAAGGUCCAAGUUUUAUAU